UAAUACCUACGGGACGCAGCAGUGGGGGACAUUGCACAAUGGGGGAAACCCUGAUGCAGCGACGCCGCGUGAGUGAAGAAGUAAUUCGUUACGUAAAGCUCUAUCAGCAGGGAAGAAAAUGACGGUACCUGACUAAGAAGCCCCGGCUAACUACGUGCCAGCAGCCGCGGUGAUACGUAGGGGGCAAGCGUUAUCCGGAAUUACUGGGUGUAAAGGGAGCGCAGACGGCAGUGCAAGUCUGGAGUGAA
rnacentral:rRNA from 1 species